CAGAGAAUCUGCCUCCGGGCACUCUCCCACCCUUUGUUUAUUAUACCUUUGUUGCUUUGGCAGACCCGCCCUUGUGGCCACCGGCCCCGGCUGGUCAGUGUCUGCCAGAGGAUCCAAAACUCAUGUUUAAUUGUCGUCUGAGUACUAUAUAAUAGUUA
rnacentral:misc_RNA from 1 species